rnacentral:rRNA from 1 species
AGCAGCCGCGGUAAUUCCAGCUCCAAUAGCGUAUAUUAAAGUUGUUGCAGUUAAAAGCUCGUAGUUGAAUUUCGGGAUCAAAGAAUCGGUCAUGCCUUGGUAUGUACUGGUUUUAUUGGUUCUCACCUUCUAAAGAACCAUGAUGUCAUUCAUUUGAUGUUAUGGGGAAUUAGGACUGUUACCUUGAAAAAUUAGAGUGUUUAAAGCAAGCUUACGCUUGAAUACAUUAGCAUGGAAUAAUGAAAUAGGACAUCAGAUUCUAUUUUGUUGGUUUCUAGGAUCGAUGUAAUGAUUAAUAGGGAUAGUUGGGGCAUUAGUAUUCAAUUUGUCAGAGGGUGAAAUUCUUGGGAUUUAUUGAAGACUAACUACUGCGAAAGCAUUUGCCAAGGAUGUUUUCAUUAAUUCAGACGAAAGUUUAGGGGAUCGAAGACGAUCAGAUACCGUCGUAGUCUUAACCCAUAAAACCUAUGCCGACUA